rnacentral:rRNA from 1 species
UACAGAGACUGCAAGCGUUGUUCGGAUUCAUUGGGCGUAAAGGGUCCGUAGGCGGUCGGUUAAGUCGGAUGUGAAAUCUCGUGGCCUAACCACGAGCGGUCAUUCGAAACUACUCGGCUAGAGGGCUGGAGAGGAGACUGGAAUUGUCGGUGUAGCGGUGAAAUGCGUAGAGAUCGACAAGAACACCGGUGGCGAAGGCGGGUCUCUGGACAGUUCCUGACGCUGAGGGACGAAAGCUAGGGGAGCAAACGGG